rnacentral:rRNA from 1 species
GACGAACGCUGGCGGCGUGCUUAACACAUGCAAGUCGAACGAAGUGGCGAACGGGUGAGUAAUACGUGGGUAACCUGCCCUCCUUUUUGGGAUAAGCCUUGGAAACGGGGUCUAAUACCGAAUAAAGGGGGAUGGGCUCGCGGCCUAUCAGCUUGUUGGGGGGGUGAUGGACUAACAAGGCGGUGACGGGUAGCCGGCCUGAGAGGGUUACCGGCCAUGUGGGGAGUGCGAUAGGGCCCAGACGCCUACGGGGGGCAUGUGUGGGGGAUCUUGCACAAUGGGUGAAAGCCUGAUGCAGCUACGCCGCGUGGGUGUUGAAGGCUUUCGGGUUGUAAACCUCGUUCUCCACCGAAUGGGUAGGUAGAGAAAGAGCGCCGGCUACUCACGUGCCAGCCGCCGCGGUAAUUC